GCGCCAGACUCCUACGGGAGGCAGCAGUGGGGAAUAUUGCACAAUGGGGGAAACCCUGAUGCAGCGACGCCGCGUGAGUGAAGAAGUAUUUCGGUAUGUAAAGCUCUAUCAGCAGGGAAGAAAAAAGACGGUACCUGACUAAGAAGCCCCGGCUAACUACGGGCCAGCAGCCGCGGUAAUACGUAGGGGGCAAGCGUUAUCCGGAUUUACUGGGUGUAAAGGGAGCGUAGACGGCAUAGCAAGUCUGAAGUGAAAGCCCAAGGCUCAACCAUGGGACUGCUUUGGGAACUGUACGGCUGGAGUGCAGGAGAGGUAAGUGGAAUUCCUAGUGUAGCGGUGAAAUGCGUAGAUAUUAGGAGGAACACCAGUGGCGAAGGCGGCUUACUGGACUGUAACUGACGUUGAGGCUCGAAAGCGUGGGGAGCAAACAGGAUUAGAUACCCCAGUAAAG
rnacentral:rRNA from 1 species